UGGCGGGUCGGCAAGGCACAGCACACGACCUGGUGGACCAGCCACUGGGAACAAUGAGUCUAUGGUGGCCAAAUCCAGCCUUGUCCUCCACUUUGUCAAGGGACAAUUUCAAGAGUACCAGGAGAGCAUAAUCAGAGCAGCCUUCCUUACACAGACUGUCUGCUUAGACGACACAAUAGUCAAGUUUGAGAUCUGGGGCAGCGCUGGACAGGAGCGGUAUCAUAGCCCAGCCCCCAUGUACUAUGAAAUCACCAAAAAAGAUACAUUUGCACCAGCCAAGAAAUGGGUGAAGGAGCUAGAGAGGCAGGCCAGCCCCAACAUUGUCACUGUACUUGUGGGUAACAAGGCAGACCUGGCCAGCAAGAAAGCCCCAGAAUUCCACGAAGCACAGGACUAUGCAGACGACGACAGUUGACUAUGGAGACAUCAGUAAAGACUGCAAUGAACGUGAAUGAAGUUUACACGGCGAGAGCUAAGAAGAUUCCUAAUAAGCCCCAGAGUGCACCUGGUGCUCCAGGCCAAAACUGAGGUACGGACCUCCAGAAGAACCACCCAGCCAGCAAGAGCCAGUGCUGCAGCA
rnacentral:lncRNA from 1 species